rfam:Triticum aestivum genome assembly, contig: Triticum_aestivum_CS42_TGACv1_scaffold_096585_2AL
CAUGUACUACCUCCGUCCGAAAAUACUUAUUAUUAAAAAGAAUAAAAGGGAAUGUAUUUAGAUCUAAUUUAGUUUUAGAUAUAUCUCUUUGUACCUAUUUUAAUGACAAGUAUUUUCAGACGGAGGGAGUAAUAU